rnacentral:sRNA from 1 species
UAGAAGGAUGAACGUGGUCACAGGCCACUU